AACGAACGCUGGCGGCAUGCCUAACACAUGCAAGUCGAACGAGACCUUCGGGUCUAGUUGCGCACGUGUGCGUAACGCGUGGGAACCUGCCCUUAGGUUCGGAAUAACUCCCCGAAAGGGGUGCUAAUACCGGAUAAUGUCUUCGGACCAUAGAUUUAUCGCCUUUGGAUGGGCCCGCGUUGGAUUAGCUAGUUGGUAGGGUAAAAGCCUACCAAGGCGACGAUCCAUAGCUGGUCUGAGAGGAUGAUCAGCCACACUGGGACUGAGACACGGCCCAGACUCCUACGGGAGGCAGCAGUGGGGAAUAUUGGACAAUGGGCGAAAGCCUGAUCCAGCAAUGCCGCGUGAGUGAUGAAGGCCUUAGGGUUGUAAAGCUCUUUUACCCGGGAUGAUAAUGACAGUACCGGGAGAAUAAGCUCCGGCUAACUCCGUG
rnacentral:rRNA from 1 species